CAGCAGCCACGGGAAUACGAAGGGUGCAAGCGUUACUCGGAAUUACUGGGCGUAAAGCGUGCGUAGGUGGUGGUUUAAGUCCGUUGUGAAAGCCCUGGGCUCAACCUGGGAAUUGCAGUGGAUACUGGGUCACUAGAGUGUGGUAGAGGAUAGUGGAAUUUCCGGUGUAGCAGUGAAAUGCGUAGAGAUCGGAAGGAACAUCUGUGGCGAAGGCGACUAUCUGGGCCAACACUGACACUGAGGCACGAAAGCGUGGGGAGCAAACAGGAUUAGAUACCCCCGUAGUCCCUGUCUCUUAUAA
rnacentral:rRNA from 1 species